CUCGUCUGAUCUCGGAAGCUAAGCAGGGUCGGGCCUGGUUAGUACUUGGAUGGGUGACCGCCUGGUAAUACCAGGU
rnacentral:rRNA from 10 species